CCUACGGGAGGCAGCAGUAAGGAAUAUUGGUCAAUGGAGGUAACUCUGAACCAGCCAUGCCGCGUGCAGGAAGAAGGCCCUAUGGGUCGUAAACUGCUUUUGUACCAGAGAAAACCCGAGUACGUGUACUCGGUUGAUAGUAUGGUAAGAAUAAGCAUCGGCUAACUUCGUGCCAGCAGCCGCGGUGAGACGAAGGAUGCAAGCGUUAUCCGGAUUCAUUGGGUUUAAAGGGUGCGUAGGCGGACUGAUAAGUCAGUGGUGAAAUCUCUCGGCUUAACCGAGAAACUGCCAUUGAUACUGUUAGUCUAGAGUAUAGAUGACGUUGGCGGAAUAUGACAUGUAGUGGUGAAAUACUUAGAUAUGUCAUAGAACACCGAUUGCGAAGGCAGCUAACGAAACUAUAACUGACGCUGAGGCACGAAAGUGCGGGGAUCAAACAGGAUUAGAUACCCUGGUAGUCCGCACCGUAAACGAUGAUUACUCGUUGUUGGCAAUAUGACCCGUCAGCGACCAAGCGAAAGCGAUAAGUAAUCCACCUGGGGAGUACGCCCGGNAACGGUGAAACUCAAAGGAAUUGACGGCNGAGAGAGCGACGGACGACGACGAGGGAGGAGG
rnacentral:rRNA from 1 species